GUUUAGGGUGAAGUAAGACCAAGCUCAUGAGCUUAUUAUCCUAGGUCGGAACAAAUUAGUUGAUAGUGAUAGGAUCUCCUUUUUGACGUCCCCAUGUCCCCCCGUGUGGCGGCAUGGGGAUGUCAAAAGGAAAGGGAUGGAGUUUUUCUCGCUUUUGGCGUAGCAGGCCUCCCUUUGGGAGGCCCGCGCGACGGGCUAUUAGCUCAGUGGUAGAGCACGCCCCUGAUAAUUGCGUCGUUGGAAACUCUCAGAAUAGGAAUGAAGUAUGGGAAGAAAUAAGAGCCUUAGGCCUGUGCUUGACAUGUGUUGAGCUACCCUGGUCAUCAGUGCAAGGUGAAGAUGAACAUAGUAAUAUGUGACAGUGAAGAGAAGGGAGAGAGCCAAAAAAGGAUCUUUCGUGUAUAAUCCUGCAUAAUCUCGAACCCUCCUGCUGGAUCAAAAAAGGUUGUAUUAAAGUUUCGAUCGGUUAAUAACAUUGUAAUUGCCCCUGCCAGUACCGGAAGUGAUAAUAAAAGUAGGAAUGCUGUCACUAAAACGGACCACACAAAAAGUGGUAAUCUAUGCAUAGUCAUUCCAGGUCCACGCAUGUUGAAGAUAGUAGUUAUAAAAUUGAUAGAACCUAAAACUGCAAGGCGUUGCUAUCCAUCGCAAUACCCACCCACAAGAAGUAGUGGCAAUUCUCUUCCCUUUGCUGACUAAAAGCUGUAAAUUGGGGCUUAUCGGGACCAAUGUUACGAGCUUCUGGAAUACAAUGGGAUCUUCGUAAAAUCGAUCCUUAUGAGUCUUACAAUCAAUUCGAUUGGAAAGUCCAACUUCCUCGGGGGUUGGCUUUGUAAUGGAACAUGAAAACACCUUUUUUGCUUCGCCUCUUUUCCAACCUCUUACCAACUCGGGAUGGCCUCCUCUCGGUCAAGGAUCCGACCUUCCCCUCGCUCCGGGGUUCUAUACUUUCGAUGCUUCUCUUUCGAUACGAUAGCUAUCCCCUGUUUAGUUUCUCGGCUUCCUAUCUCUUAGGAAAGACUAGCUGGAUCAGGUUAAGGGAAGGAAGCACAUCGAUAACGCGCCCUCUUCCACCUAUAGGUAGUUUGAGAGAAGUUUCUUUUGAAGUGGAUACCUCAAGACCAAAAAUAGCCCGUAAUAAUCCAGCUUCCGCGAUAUACGACGAUUCGCUCGCUAUCUGAGGCGUUAAUUUACCUACUAAAAUAUCGCCAGUUUCUACCCAGGAUCCCAACCUCACAACUCCAUUUCUGUCCAAAUUGCGGAGUAAAUGUUCUUCUAGAUGUGGUAUUUGAUCCGGGCUGUUUCCCUCUCGACGAUGAAGCUUAUCCCCCAUCGUCUCACUGGCCGACCUUGACCCCUGUUAUUUUUGGGUCAUAUCUAGUAUUCAGAGUUUGCCUCGAUUUGGUACCGCUCGCGCAGCCCUCACCGAAACAGUGCUUUACCCCUAGAUGUCCAGUCAACUGCUGCGCCUCAACGCAUUUCGGGGAUAAACAAGGAAGUGAAAUUCGGCGAUGCCCCUUUCGGGGGGCAUUCCGAUUUCGCUAGUACCAUCUUUUUUGCCGCGCAAAUCCAAACGGAUUGCUCAUAUUUAUUUACCCUACCCCAUUUCAAAGUUUGUGCCUUGUUUCAGCCCUUCCUUCAUCUUAACCUUCCAGUACUAAUCUAUCUUUAUGGGGACUCAUCUGACCUCCGAGCUACCCUGUCAAUUGUAAAAAGGAUUCGAAGCGUACCGAAGACUCGAAGGAUACUGAAGAUUUGAAGGAUACCAAAGAUUCAAAGGAUUAGGUUUUUCUAGGGUAAUAACUUCCAAGUUUCAGAAUUUAAGUGAAGAGACUUAUUUUUUACCCAUGGUUGUGAUGCUCGGCGACGAUCAUCCGUGGCACAAGAAGGUUUGUCAUCACAGGUAGAUACAUAGUAUAAGUCCAAAGUCGAUAGCUUAUCAUCCUCGACUUGUCACCAGCUCAAUUGGCCUUGUUAAGAUUGUACAAGGAGCAAAAGAAAAAAAAAAGGAGGGAAACGUGAUGAGGCAAUCAGUGUCGUGGUCCUCUUGGUUGUGUUCACUGUGUUCCUAUUGUGUCCAACUCCUCCCUCGACAACACCUACAUCCACCGGUAGUGGAGGGUUGCUCCUGCUCUGGUUCAUGUGGACUAGAACAUCAGGCGCCCUUCGGGCGCCCUACAAUGAUUUAAAGAAUAAAAGCUACUAUCAUACUGGGUAGAUAAAGACUUGUAGUUAGAUGGUAGCUAAAAUCUAAGCACAUGCAGUUACAUAUAGAGUAAUUGUUAGCAUAACCACGGCAUCAGCAUCUAAGAUGAGGCAUAUAUGCACCAACAUAAACAUAGCACAAAUUAUGAAGCAACAACAUAACCUCCAUAUCCUAAUUUUAAAAUGAAAUGAAAAAAAAUCUUAUUUCUUAUUGUGUUCCAAAUCAACUAAACAUGCAUUGAAUAUCAUGAUGCCAUGAAGCAGGUGUCAUGUGCCUCAAGCUAAAAUCAUGUUUCUUACUGUGUUCAGAAUCAAAUUAUGCAUAUAGCUAAAUAAUUCACCAAAAUAUCUAGUUUAUACUAACACAACAAUAAGUUUUUCAAUACGAAACGUGUGAUGUAGAGCAGCAGGCAUUAAUGUCGUCGUUUAGCAAUAUGCAGAUCAGCUAGGGCUAGUGCAACUCCAAUAAACCAAGGCAUCAAUGCCGUCCUUUAGCAACAAGCAGAUCAGGUGGUGCAACUUCAAGAAAUCCAAAUUCGAGACGAAUAGCCAAUUCAUAGAGCUUUUUUGCCUACAAGGGAUGCAGUGAUAUUUAUAUCAGCACAAUAGGUACUGCAAGUGUGCGACCUACAUCCUUGAAGGAAAAAUAUAACCAUAAUAAAACAAUAAAAUAAGUGAAGCAUCUAACUAUUUACCAUUGUCAGCUUAUGAUUUGUCGAAUCUAGAAGGAAAAAAAGCAUAGGAAGUCUUGCUUUACAGUAUCAUUGUCAUGUUUGUGAAUAUUCAUGUAUUUCACUAUUAAGCAAUUUUGACCGAAUAGUAAAUCGGAAUAAGUACUAUUUUUAAAAGAUGAUUACAUUGUAUAAAGCAAGACAGCACAACUUCUGUUAAUUUCAAUAGGUAAUUUUUAGCUUUAUCAUAAUAAAAUAAUUCCUACUCUAAAAUUAAGCCCACAAUUAUCAUACCCACAGAGCUUUGGAAAAAUGAAAUAAGAAAAUUGGAGACGUUGCGGGUUCAAUGCCUAGAGGACACAAGAUGCUUUGAGUGGGAUAUCAACUGAUCUUGUCAACAUUCUUCAUGAUGACUUGGGACUCAUUGAGUUUAUAAAUUUCCAGAUCCAAAAGAAUCUUUAUGGAAUCAAACACAUGGGUGAAAUCUUCAAGAACUCAGCCUUAGAAACAUAGAAAAUCAUACAUUUAACAGAUAUAUCAAUCAAUAUCAUUAUUCUAGUAUCCUAGUUCAAGUGUAAGCUUAUUUUUAUCCUUUUCAAGCUAUGGCGAUAGCGUCAGUUGCAAUUUCAGGUUUGACAUCAAUCAAGCACCUCAAAAAAAGAAGAAGAGAAAUACAGUCGUAGGACAUGGAAAAUAGUGAAUACGAUGUGUCUUGUGAGGGAUUAAAACCGAGAUUAAUCUAUCAUCGGUAGCUACGAACAAUUAAAUGAAGCUAGCUAUCUUUUGGUGGUUGUUCUAAUUUUACAUUUAUUUAGUAGUAAAUUUAUCGCAAGUCAUUUUCUUUUGGAGCCAGGUGAGUGGACUGGCUUAAAAGAUUUUAGUUGGUGAUACAUACUAAAUGAACUUUACUUGUAUAUCAUAUAUUGGUCAAGAUGGUGGGCUGAGCGCUCAGUCCAUAAAUAUUUGAUAAGCUUUUUGACUAAACUUGGCGCCUUUUCUAGAGCAUCAUGAUCAUUGCAUAGUAAUACUGUUGUGAAUUAGAUAAAUAAAGAGAAAACAGAGGUACCUGCUUGCACUGCCUCCUGACCUUGAGGUUCUGAUUCACCAUGUGACAAAUCCCCUUAAGCUCCUCCUGCAUAUAUGCCUACAUGUAUAUUUCAACAGAUAAAGAAUCCAGAUUAAAUGUCACCACCGAAUGAUCAAUCAACAGUUUCAAUUAGAAUCCAGCAAGCUAAGGUAAACAUUUAGGAAUGGACCACAUCACUCUCCUACAUUACUUUUCUUGACAUCUGAGUGCAGACUCCCUAUCCAUCAUCCGGAUGUUCCUGAAUCCAUCGGGUACCCACUACCAGUAGGUGCUCUUCAUCCUCCUCGGCGUCACCAACACUGAGCAGUAGAAGAGGUAAUCUUGAGCGCAAUGGCCUGAAGAGUCCUAUACUGCAUUAUCCUAGGUUGCAUACAAAUCCACGUGAAGGCCUCACCUUGGGGGCGAUGCCGACGGCCUGCUGUGCAGAUCGAUGAUGAGCAGCCUUGCAGGGGCAGCACCGCGUGGCCUGAUGUUGAAACGACCUAGAUUUUUCCACAAGGGGAAAAAUCCACAGAUUCGAAUUAUAAUGUGAUAAUUCAAAAAUUGAGCCACCACAUUAUCAUAUAUCAGCUGUUAUCAUAGUCAUACAUCGUGAAAAACAAGAUUACAACACAUUUACUUUACAACUCUUAGUUAACAAGCCUAUUACAUCGUUUUACUAGCGGAAACACACACGAAUCUUUUUCGGAGUCGAUGUAGCGCGUCAGCGGUGAAGGCUCCUCCUUCACGGGUAAUCAUCAGAGUCGGCGUAGUUUAUCAGCGGGCGUAGCCUUCAUCUCCGAACCAAACUUGAGCGCAGGAACGAGACCACCUAAUCCUUCUAUUAUCCGUAAUUAUCGUCAUAGACCAUGUUCAAAACCUGCUAAACAACUUUCAGUACGAUUUGUACUGGCCACUGGCUCCCACCCUAUGCUUUUGCGUAAGCUUUGUGGUAAGUGGAAUGCAAAGGGUAGAUCAAGAGUACUAUAUAUGGUUGUAGUUUUCCUAUACAAGUUCAUCAAUAUUUUAUAAUAAUUCAUCAAGUUUUAUUCCAUCUCAACCACACAUCCAUCCAUCCAUCCCAUCACACACAUCUCACCACACUCUCACUCUCUAGGCGGCAGGUACGACUCCCGCUCGUGCCUUGCCUCAACGGCCAACGCUGGAUCCAACACAAACCCAGGGGAAGGUAGAAGGGACUCCUCUCACUAGUCAAGCGAAGCGGAACAUAGGAAAGGUCCAUAGCCGAGAAGACGGCAUAUGUAUCGAUCGAUCAACCAAACUCUGCAGAGGUUUACACUAACCACAAGAUCACCAUCAUCGACGAUCCGGCUCGUCUAGGCUGAUACCGGGCUGCCUUCCAACUAAAUACGAUGCCACCCUACCACUCAGGACUGGGGCCAUACCGGAGUACCACCGGCAUGCUGAGACUGUGAGGCGUAGUACCGGGCCCCCAAAGGUCACUACGCUGUCUUAGGAGGGUGUGGGUCCUCAUGCCCGUACCUCCCUACACUAUCCGCUAUCAAUCUAGUAGUAGUGGCACCGCACUAGCUGGUCGUACAUCCGUCCCGCACCAUAAUAAGGCGAGUGGCGUGUAAGGCUUCCUACGAACCGGUUCUCAGAACAUCUCAGUCCUUAGGGUAACCGAACAGGACAUCUUCACGAGGGGCCAGCCGAUGCCCCUCUCGACGGGACACCCGGCUACCCCGUGCUAAACAGCACCUCCCAUCCCGGUGCUUCGUCCCACAAAGACACUCCACUCCGGGACCUCUCCCUGUCACAUGUACCCGCCACAGGUACCUCUCGUGGAGAACGCCCAGGUAGCGUCCCCCGGCAAGACUUGUCCCAAGACUCGUCGUAAAUCCUGCUCGGUUGACUCGACCCUCACCACACACCCAAGACACACGCCAAGAUCUCCCCAAAUCCAUUAUCAUCUCAUUAUCCAAUUAUCGGCACCACGUGCCUUAUCCACUCACAUCCAAUCUCCCACAUUGCAUCACAUCACAGAUAUAAUGCGUAGUAGAAGCAGUAGCAAGUAGUAUGCAGCAUCUAACCAAACAGCGGGUGUGCGAGGGUUAUAGGUUGCAACAAGGCAAUGGCUCACAAGCAUUUCUACCAUGCAACCUAUCUCAAUUCAUUUGCAUAAAAGUAAAGCACUAGCAUCUACAAUAUUGCAUGUCUAAUAGGAUUCUACGAGGUUGGGUGGGACGUGGCACCUGUCGAGUGACAUUUCCAAGAUCCUCAGUUCACUUGUAGUCGUUCUCAUCUGAGGUCCUUAUUCCAUCUGCAUGUCCUUCCUUCAACGGGUUCCGAUCCGAUCAACGCUAACCGAAGCAACUACCUCGAAAGCGACAAACAAGGCGAAACAAUCAAACCACUAGACCUAGAAAGAUCGUGAAAAGAGGCGACAAAACACCAAAGAACAACCACACUAAAAGAGCACCUAAAGGAUAACGACUUAGCCCUCUCGGCGGAUGUCCGAUCCCUGGGCUAAAGAAACAGAACUGGUUGUUCACUAAGUACGAGUCAGAGUUCUAGCUUAGCCAGUACUUCCCGGGUCAACUGAGUCAACCUGUACGGCUUCAAUAAAUGGCUUAGACUCUAACUCAUUCUAAGCAACCACCACAGCUUACGGUCUUUCGAUCCAAGUGUCAUAGAGGUCGACAGGAAUCGAAAAGACUAUGAGCACGAGAAGUUCCUGUCUCUCUCAAUCCAUACGCCAUUGUAGUUGGCGAGAGCCAAGAGAGGGUGGAACAAGGAGAGAAGAAAAAAGGGAGUGGUCUACUUCUUCCCAUCCACUCGCCAUGGUAAGAGACGGGGGAUUAGAAAGAGUGACACACAAAGAACAUGAGUACUCAAACCACUUGUAGGGUACCACAACCUAGGUGCACUAAAUGCACUAUGUCAUCACUAAGGUUCUUUGCGGUGCGGUUGUCACCACAAGAACCAAAGAAAUGCUACGAUCGAUAUAGGUACAAGCAUACAAGAGUUUAAGCACGAAGAACCAAAAAGGCGGGAAAGACACGUGAUUCACAUUCCUUUGAUCCGCUCGCCAUAGCAACGGCGGGAAUCACGGGAUUGGAAACAAAACAUCAAACAAGCAAAAGGGGCUUAAUCCACAUCUUACUGGAUCGACGGGAUUGAGAACAAGAGAGAAGAGAAAUGGAGUCCAUACCCUUUUCAACCAACCCGCCAUGGAACAAACGACAGUUGGAUAAAAGAGAUACGACCCCACGAUCCAAACCUACUCGUAGGGCACCAUGACUGUGCAUCUUAAUCAAUCACAAGGCUAUUCCUAAGGCCCGUAGCGAUGCGGUUGUCACCGCUAGGUCCGAGGGAAUGCUAUAGUCGAAGUGGUACGAGCAUACGAGGUGGUUAGAAUAAACACGCGAAAACAAGGUAAAGCCCGAUGGCUAUGGCGAGGCGACUCGCAGCCAUGAGCUCCGCCUAACGAGUUGGCUUUCAUAAGUCCCACGAUUGUCGUCCGCUAGUCUCCCACUAAACUAGGUCACGAGUGGCUCGCCAGGUGCGGGUAGGAGGCGCACCGACAGCAAGUCCAUGGUGACCACGCUUGUGGGUAGAAUAGGGUCGCUAUUAUUCAUAGCACUAGAGAGUCAACUAAAACGAGGGAAACACGCUAGGUUCGGCAUUACGGCCACCGUGGAACGAUCCCAUGACCGAAUGGUCGAACCCACUACGAUCCCCGACCGGCUCGAAGGCUCGGUCCACAACAACGACAAACAACACACAACCACCAGAACAACGCAUGAAGAACCUCAACACAACGACUGGCAACACGAUCGACGCAAGACAACAUGGAGUAGCACAUUUCCAUAGCACGAGAGAUAGAUAGAGAGAUUCAUAGAUAGAUAAAUAGACCGGCACGAAGGCAUGGCACAGGCAGAGAUAUAGAUAAAGAUAGAUCGUGCGGCAAGUAUAGACGAUGAUAUAGAUGACAACCAUCAAGUAUGAACGAUGAUAGAAAGAUGUACAAAAGCGAAAGGGGUUUUUCGUCGGCGUCGACUAGGGUUCGACCUUGGUGGCGAGGACGAUGCUCGAUGACGUGUUGUCGAGGCAGGGCGCCGCUGUUGCUGCUCGUGGCUAUAGCUCGUUGGAGUGGGGCGGCAUGGUGGUUUGCCUCGGCUCCGACAAGGGGAAGUGCUGCUGUUGUGCGUUCCGGUUGCGGCUUCACUGCAAUGAUGGGAAACCUCGACACAAGGGCCGGCCGUCAGACAAGCGCGGUGACACGGCUAUUAUCGGAAGGAGAAAGGGAGGAUAUUGGGUUGCUGGUGGCUCACUGAUAGCAGCACUGGCGAGGCAUGGGCGCGACGUGGUGACCGUGGCAAGGCGAUGACGUGGACGUGGACGCGUCGGGGCUCGACGUCGAGCUCGGGGUCGCGAUCACCAUGGUCGACGCUGACGCGGUGACCAUCGUGACGUCCCGGCGUGGCCGCGGCUCGGGUGCAGCGCCGUCGUGGUGGAUGGGGCCGAGUCGGUGUCGCAGCUCCAAGUCGCGGUUCGGGCUCGGCUCGGCGGUGCCUGGCGACCACGCGGCCGGCCGUGGUCGAAGCUCGACGCAGCGAGGGCAGCGUCGCGGCUCGAGACAGAGGAAGGAGCGCGGCUGUCACGGGCUCGCCACGGGUUUGGUCCGUGGCGUCGCGGUUGCGGGUGACGGCGUCGUGGUGGCUCGGCAGCGUCGGGGCAGGGGCGUCAAGGUCGCCGGGCGAGGGCGACACGGCGUUGGGGUCGCGGCGAGGUGCUGAGGACGAGGCGCUCGGGGUCGCGGCGAGGCUCGGCGGUGGUCGUUGUGGUCGCGGUCACCACGGCCGCGGCAUGGACGGAGACGGAGGCGUCGCGGGUGACAUCGCAGGGUGGACGCGGCCACAGCGAGGUCCAAGACGCGGGCGCCGGUCGUGGAGGAGAAGGGGGAAAGGGCGGCGGUGCUGGGUGGAGGGAGCAGGCGGCGGCGGCUCGGCUUUUAUAGCGCGGUGCCCUAGGGUUUCCAUCACGAACGGCGGAUGGCCUCGGCGUCCGUACCCUUGUCCACGCGUCGAGCAUCCGCAAGGAGGGGCAGGUGGGGCGCUGACGUCGAGGUUGGGCGCGGGCGCGCGGCUCUCCCUUGGGCGACGGCGGCGGCGGCUCUGGGGCUCAGGGGCGCGCUAGGGUUAGGCGCUGGGGCGCUGGCUGCUGGGCCGGCCACGACCUGGGCUAGAGCAAGGAGGGGCGGAUGGGCCACGAUGCAGUCUGGAGUGGUGCUGGGUCGCUGGGCCUGAAGUGCUGCUUCGCGCGCGUGGGCCGAGCGGGGCGCGUGCGCGGCUGGGCCAAGGAGGGGAGGCAGAGAGCUGGCUGGGCUGGAGGAAAGAGAGCUGGCCGGCUAGGCCAGGAGAAGGAGUGGGAGGAAGGGGAAAGGUUUAGGCCCAAAAGAGAAAGAAUGCUUUCCUAAUUAUGACAAGGGAUUUUGAGAAGGGUAUUUUGGGAAUAGAUAUCAAGGGGUUUUAGGUGAAGAGAGAUUGGGAUGAGUUCAAAGAGGAUCAAAAGGAGUUUGAGACGUACUCCAACGAAAGUUUGAGAAAGGAUUCGCUUCGCCUUUUGAGAUAGGCUCAACAGAGGUUCACAAAGAUUUGCUAUGGAUUUGUGCACUCUAAACCCUAAUUAAGACUCAACUCCAAAUCGACUCAUGAACAAAAGCACUCGCCUACAAACAAAUCUACAUGUAUGCCACGAUUUGUUAGCGGGUUAGGAUCGAGUUUAACCUAAAAACUAUAUGGUUCACACGAUUACAUGAAAAAUUUUAAAAAGCUCAUAUUUUUGUUUUACGUAAAAUUCUGGGAUGUUACAGAUGUGUGGAUCAAUAACGGAGACCCUUGCUAUGGGUGGUGUUGGUAGCAUGGAGAAGCAGGGGGAUGCGGUCAGCAGCUUAUGAAACUCGUCAACACCGAAGGCCUGGAGGAGAAUCAAGGACGGUGAUGCCUGGGGAAGAAUGCGUCUGUGCAGCCUAGAUACUGCUAGAUCUGGUGUGAUGCUACAGCCGUCCUCUCCACCGAUUUGGUGUCUUGCAUCUUGGAUCUGGUCGUGGAUCCUCGGAGCUAAUGGCACCUCCAAUCCAUGGAUCCAUUGGAGGUUAGUUCUCCAUGGGAUGCCACCGUGCUCCAGCUCGCCGGCAGCACCCGCACCACCUCUCAGUCUCCCAGCAACAGAGAGGGGAACGGAGACAGUAGGGAAAGAGAUAGAGCGGAGGUGGGGGAGAUGAGUUUUCGAAAGCUAGGUGGAGGAACACCAUGGAAGAGGUGGAGGAGCGGCGGCGGCGAGCGGGGAGGCACGCCCAGUGAUACGCGAGCUGCAUCGACGCCUGGGAGAGGAGAGAGAGGAAUCAGGAGGAGGUUAGGGUUCGGGUCAGGUGGGGGGCUCUCUGCAAAAUGUCACCUUUUAGGUGUGAUUUAGUGGACUGCGGGUUAGUUUGCAAAGAACUGAAAGGCUUUUCUGUAAGAUAGGCAGAAACACGCGUCGGCACAUGGAGGAGCCACCAAUGCUCCAAACGCUGUGGUGCAAGCAAAAUGGAGUGGGUUUUAAUCAACCCUGAUGACGACGUGCAGAAGAAGAGAGAGGUGGUAUGUGGUAGAGAGAUGUAUCAGGAAAGUGUAAUGGUGUACAAUGGGCAAAAUCCUUGGGUUCCCCAAGGCCAUUUUCUUAUAGCUGGUGGCGGCGGGCGGCGGCGUGGGCAUGCAGCGGCGGUCGUCCCUGUUGGAUGGCGAGCUGGGACACAUGGCUACAAUCUGGUUGUCCUCAUAAUGCCUCCAGCCGGUCAUGGGGUGGGUGUCACGGAGCCUUGACGUCGCUGAUAGACCAGAGGGUACAAAGAGCAACAUAGUAGGAGAGCGGGGGCUGCACCCGUCACGCCAACUCAUGUGAGAGUAUAAAUCAGACUUGCCUAGUGGCCACCCCUCGUUUUCACUCGCCUUGCAUAACAUUGUUGGAUGAACAUAGAUGAAUUUGAAUGGCACAUUCCUUCCGUUCUGUGGAGUCUUGAUCUCCCGAAGAUAUCUUCAUGUUUCCUCCCAAAGACAGAGACUAGAGUAUCACUCUUGAUCUCCUAUACGGAGCCCCUCCGAAGACGUCAUCGCAAUGACGCCAACUCACCAUUCCGGAAGCCCUUCAUAGUUGGUCUUUAGAGUUUUCUUGCAAAAAAUAGCAGUUUGGCUCUCGCCGCAAGCUGUUCGGUCGGCACACAUGCAUGCAACAAGCUAUAAUACGGUCUAUUAUAACACGCCACUUUAUUUGCUAGUUGUACUCCUACAUAACAUGCAUACAACAUAAAAGAUAGUGGCUUAAGCCCGGCGCCGACGAUACAUAGAGAGAAAAGAGAAAAGGUAUAGUGUCCUCAAAGCGGGUCCCUGAAACUGAAAGUGUGAUUUGCGUAGAUGUUUCCAUUUGAUAAUACAGUGCUAGCGAAGAUGAUCGCAACAAUAAAUGAGCUCCCAUCCCAUCAGUCCUGACUCCAUGUCCAUCAGUUGGAAAACAAAGAAAAAAUAAAUACACAAAAAGAUGAUGUCUCAUUCGAAUUAAGAAAACACAAACUGUGCAGCCCAAUAGCUAGGUGCAAGCGUGCAACUCCUCAGAAUUUUCUAUUCCUAUAAUAUAACUAUAAUUCUUUCUUUUCCUUCCGUCGGUGCUGUUGUACUCUCUCCAAAGCGAACCGCAACAAUCACGACAACAUUUUACACGGUAGUAGUAGGUCCUUGACUUUUAUAUCUACUUUUUAAAUUCCUCUAUAUAUCUAUACGUACACGACAAUAAUUUACAAUCACAAGCAAGCCUUUCAUCGAAACUUCUAACAAAGUUUAAAAUUAAAUAAAAAAAACCCAAAUCCUUUCACCAACGACGAUCCUUCACCAACCAGACUGAACGAGCUUGACUAGUUGAGGCCGAAGUAGUCGCUCAUGGAGAGCAGGUCGCAGAAGCCGGCCGUCUGCAACUGAUCAUCGAUGCCGUCGUCGAAGUUCUCCUGGAACUCCCAGCAGCUGGCGCCGCUGUCACCGAACCCGUGCAGGGACGACACAUCGACACCGGAUGGCCCAUCCACCUGCUGCACGGACCCCUGGCUCAUCACCUGAUGCUGCUGAUCGCGAUCCACGCCCGCAGCGGCAGCAGCGCCCAGACCAGGUGCUGCCACGGCAGGAGGCGGGCCACCACCACCACCACCACCACCACAGCCCAUGUAGUAGUCCGUGUCCAGCCAGUCCGCGAACAUGACCUUGGGCGCUGCCACGAGCGCGUGGGGCCUGCAGGCGGCGGGCGGGUCCGUCAGGCAGCUCGAGUCGGCCGACGACGACUCGCGCGGCUCCGACGAGCCGGAGUCCGCCGGCGCCUCCUGCGCCGCGCCGCCGUCCCCGGGCUUGACGCAAUGCGAGUCGUCUGAAUCAGUGCCCGAAUCGGUGGCUGCCGCCGGCGCAGGCGUGCUCGGUCGUCCCUCCUUGCCCUCCACCCUCUUCUUGAGGUACGAGUUCCAGUGGUUCUUGACCUCGUUGUCGGUCCUGCCAGGCAAGUGCCGUGCGAUCCUAGACCACCUGCAGCACAAAAUCGGCGUCAAUAAACCAUGCCGCUAGCUAUACUAGCUCCGUUGGACUUGUGGGGGGGAAAAAGUGUCGCAUGUCACGCACGCACGCUAGCCUUGCGGUUCACCCAAGCUCCUCCCCGUUUCUGUCGGUGGGGUUAGUGGAAACCCCAACCUUUUGCAAUACGAGCUGAGGUUUCCUCCGGCCUUUUUCCCCGUGUGUGCCGAUGGCUAAAGAAAAAAUGUGUCGCUCGGUCGAAAGUGACAAGCGUGUACGUAGUCUAUUCACGUGGGGCCACCCUACGGGGCCUUUGAUUUUUUUGGGUGGGCAUAAUUGCGAAGGCCCCCGAUAAAGAAUCUCAUCUUCUCGUGAGCCAACUAGCUGUGCUACGUGCCAGUUCGGAUUUGUCAAAGCAGCUGUUCUUCAUUAACUCGCAGGGCGACACGGAUUGGUCCAAGUAGUCGACGGCAUGUUAUCGGAUCAUCCCUGUGUGCUUGUGCUACACUACAUAUAUUGAAAGGACGACUGUUGUUGCUAAUCCGAUUCCCUGUACAAUGGCCCAAAAACGAUACUAUACUACGGAGUACUGUACAGAAAAUAAAAAAAAAAAGAGAGGGCAAAAUGGCUUUGAGAUAACUUGUUGCCGGACGCAACUCUACUGUAUCUGUAUGGCAUUUAGCGUUUCUAUAAGCUCUCAUUAUUUAGCCGGCCCAACUUGUCCCUGUUGCGCCACUAAAGCAGGUCCACACCUUUUUUCCAUCCAGUAAUAAUAAUAAACAAAUAUAUAUACAUAUUGCGCCAAAGGGGGGGAAAAACAUUCUAAUCAUCGCAACGUGCCCUCGGAGCGGGGGGUGAAAAAAAAAAUCUCCUCCGAAAUUCGAAUGUGCAGCGUCGUGGAGCGUGCACGUCAGCAUCGACGACUCCACUACGGAAAAGGUCUCGGCGGCCAUCGUCACCGGUUUCCCUUUCGAUAAUACUACUCCCCCGCGUUUUUUUCCGAUCGGUUCUGCGUGUUCCAGAAGCGGCCGCCAGCUCGGCGCUGCCUGCCGUGCCGAGCAGCGGAGCGGAGCAGGGACGGGGACAAAUGCAAGGAUAGGGAUAGCAGCGGCUACGUAGCAUAGCAGCAGUGUGGAGAAAAUUAUGGCAGCAAAAGCGAGAGGGCAGGCAGGGCAACGUGGAGAACUGUGUGUCGUCUCAAUCAUUUGCGAACAAGGACUAGACCGACGGUGUCAAGCAGCAGUACUGUGCGCGGUUGGGAUAUGGUGGUGCUUACUUGUUGCCGAGCGUGGCGUGGAGGCUCAUCACCGUCUCCUCCUCCUCCGGCGAGAACGUGCCGUGCUUCAGGCCCGGCCGGAGGUAGUUGAUCCACCGCAGCCUGCAGCUCUUGCCGUUCCGGUGCAGCCCUGCAUGCCGACGCCACAGACAGAAUUCCGCAAUUUAAUUCUCAGACCAAUGCAUGCACAUUUGUUUAUAUGAUCAGAUGAAAUUAAACUACUGCUCAUGCUCAAAAACAAAAUUAAACUACUUGCGUGCGACGAAACGUAACGGCCAGUCAGGACUCGAGAGUGAGCCGGCCAGAGGAAUUCAUUUAUAUUAAAAUUAAAAAAAAAACAGCAGGAGCGCUCCUUAGUCCUGAAUGAUGUUCAUUUUAACAGAAGAAUUCCUUCAGGUAACAGCACGGCUAUGUUCUCGCCCUCAGAAAUUGGCAAUUGGCACUGGUGGGGUUCUGAAUUUCGGACGCAAUGCACCCGAACCACCUCAAUUCCGCUCCUCCCACACUCGACAGGAAUGCAGACGCACGCGGCGGCGGCGAAUCGUUGGUCGGUCUUACCGGCUUUGGCGGGGAGCGCGCUCCAGCAGCCGUGGCCGUGGAGGAGGAUGUAGUCCCGGAGCUUCUGGUCCUCCUCCGGCGACCACAGGCCCUUGCGGUAGUUGGGCUUGGGCUUGUCGCACGCCUUGCACCCCAUUGCCGGAGAAUGCCGCGCGCCGCCGCGAGCUCGAUCGCCGAGCAGGGGGGAGGCAGGCAGCGGGUGAGCAGAGCAGGAGGAGAUCAGCUACAGGAGGGGGAGGAGGGCUUCGGCUACACGCCUUUAGAAUGGAGCGCUAUGGGUCUCUCUCCUCAACAGGGCGCGCAGUUGGUAGGACUUUUUAUAGGCACAAACGGUGCCGCAAGCUUCCCUCCGCUUCUUUCUCUUUGAGUCUUUGGCUGCGAGAUAAACAAGCGGCGCUGUCAUCACACCAAAAAAUUUCCUGACGCUUAUUUGUUGAAUUAUGGAAAAAAACAUGGAGACUUUUUGAAGACAUUUAUAAUGACUUGAUUAGCGUUCUGAAAUUCUGCAUCGAUCUGGGGUUCAGUAUUCAUUCACAGUGAGGCAGUGAGCCUUCAGCCAGGGUGCGAUGCAAGGCCUUGGAAUUAGUCACGGAGAUGGCGGUGAGUGGCACGCGAGGCAAGCACCGAGCAGAGAGCUGGGUCAACUGCUCAAGUGACCCGCCGCGAUUUAACCCAGGCAAAGCUGUGACCUGAUAGCCUGAAGGGCAGAACAAGAAAGCACUGCUGCUACUACACUCAACAAUAGCGCUGGAAACUAUGGGCGACGUGGCCCAGCAACUCGAGACGAGACGCGCCCGGCCGGGAGAGCCUGUGAGGCUGUGACGAUGACGAACGCGACCCUAGAGCGAGGCUGUCACUUUCCUGGGCAAUUUUUUUCUCCGAUUCCAUACUGAACGUGGGUCGCUUUCUACAUUACUGGCACCUACUACUCGUUAUUAUCAAAACGGUAAAAUCAGCAUCCACCGCAGAUGAUCAGACAGACACCUGUAAGGCUGUAGCUAGCCUCCUCGAACCCUAGAUUGUUCUUGACGCCCUUUUGCAUUUCGCCCCGCAAUUGCUCCCAAAGUGUGCAGCGGGGGUCUGUCUAUGUAAAAAAAGAAGAAGAAGAAGAAGAAGAAUUGUUUAUCUGCCUUUGCCCGUCGUCCCUUUUCUUUACGGCAGAAAGGGACUUGCUUCAAAUAGAAGCCAAGAAUGUGUAUAGCAGGAGCUGGACACACAGCUUAGCCAGAAGCCAGGCCAAGAGCCAGGACUCACUCACUCACUCACACACACAGCCGUGACACGGCACGGAGUCAGUCCUUUGCCCUGCAUUCAACGCGGGCGAGCACCAAGUCCAAAAGAAGGCGCAAUUUCCAGUCCCGCCUGGGGUUACGCCCUCUAAAUUUUCAACGCUUUUUGCAGUUGCUUGACAGAUGACAGGUAAUCUCGCCGGCCCGUGGCUGAAAAUUAAACUCGGCUUCAAAUCGGACCGUUGGGCGCGCUCCCCCUCUCCUUCCGCUGGCCCAACUCCUGCGCCGGCGUCGGUGUACCACGCUGGUGCGCUCCACCCCCAUUAAGCGGCGGCGCCCAAGUCCUCGGCGCCCGGUCCGUGUUUAGGUGGGGGGCAAGCGGAACCGCCGACGCGCGCACGGGCGCGCGGAGCCGUACGCCGACCGGAACGUGUUCGCACGCACCUGCCGCGCGCACCACAUGUAGUACUACCCAAAGCCAAAGCGGGCGCGAAGCGUCCACCAGAUCACGUACCGACGACGCGCGGGCGGGCGGCUGGUCAAUGCACGCAUGGGAUGGGAACGUAGUGGGGGAGACCGAUCGAUGGCCCGCCCGCCCGCCCGGACUCCAGCUAGCUAGCCGCCUAGCCCUGGCGAGCCGCGGACGGCCAGGUGCCAGGGGGGGUCGCACACCAACUCGGCGCGGCGGCGUCCGUUCCCAGCCGGUGCUGUCACCAAACUCGCUGGCGGUCCGUGUCGUGUCGCGGUGCGCAUGCGUGUGCGAUGUUUCGAUUUGUCUGGGCUGCUGGUGCUGCUUGGCUGUCAGCAGUUAGGAAAAGGGUGGAGUAUCUGCUCGCGCUGUCCGGCAGGUCUCUGCCCGUCUGGGGUCCAAAACAAAUGGGGGAUGCGGUGUACGUGGCCGUCGCCCAUCCGCGGCCGCAUGGGGCUGCGCAGCUCGUCAAAUAGAAAAGUGCGGCAAUCGAAGGUCCUGCUCCUGCAAUGUUUGUAUACUACAUUGAUAAAUACCUUUUGACAUGAUCGACGACGACCAUAUGCAUUGCAAUCGAAGGUCAAUAAGUUUCAUUAUUUCUUCUGGUGAUGAAACAGGGCUCAUCAUCAGUAAGCUGAUGAGAUUCGAUCAACUCUAGGGGUUACACGUGACAAACUAAGCCGUGGUCUCUUCCAAGUGUCCCAAUUGCAUAUGCCAUCGAUCCAAGUGCAUAAAAGAAGAUCGAUCAGCGGAGAUAUGUUUAUGCUAUACUAUAUGUUUUCCCGUCGGGCUAAUAAAGGGCAGUUGUAAAGACGUGCGCGCGGUGCAUCCGCUAUGGUCAUGGUGCGAUCGAGCCGUGACGUAACGAUAUAUGCAUGCAUGGGCAUGGCCAUGAAAGUUUGAGAUCACUGACCUCGCAGAUCAAUACGUUUAUUAUUUCCUUUGUGGACUGGCGUGGCGGUGACAGUUCACACAUGUCUGUGACCUCGUCGAUACCACAACGAUCUCCUACCAGCGGAGCCUUGCAGUUGCUACGGCUCUUGGCUACCUCAAGUCACGAUGUGGCUGGUUUUGGGGCUCGGGCAUGGGGGUUGUCUGCCAAGAUCCUUGACCGUGGGCGACAAUGGUGUCGUCUUGGCAUUACGUCCCUCAUUGCGGGCAUUCUUGUGAGCCUCUUUUUUCUCUGUGAGUUUGAUUGAAAAACUGUGGUUCUCCUGUUAGUGUUGAAUACAUCUGUGAAUAUUGUUCUCCGUUUGGAGGCAUUGUUCUGGAAAACAUAUUGCCUCCUCCUAGUUUACUUUGCUUGUUCUAUGUGGCAUCCAACGGUUGCUUCUGAGAUUACUUAUGUGUGGUGGUGGUCUUGCUAUUGCCUCCUUCAUGAGUUUUUUUUUAAAAAAAUAUUUUGUUAUUGUAAAACUCUUUUUCUUCUCUAUUAAUAUAUACUUAGCAUGCUCUUAUCCGCUGGUUCUUCAGAAAAAAAAAUUAUUUCUUUUGGCGUUGAAUUAGCCAAAUCAGGGCUCAUCAGUAGCCUGAUGAGAUUCAGCUCUACGGGUUACACGUACGUGACAGACUAAGCCCUGGUCUCUUCCAAUCCAAGAGUUCCAAUCGCAUGCGUCCAAGUGUACCGUAAGAAGAUCAGCGGAGAUAUGCUAGCUUAUGCUAUUUAUUUAAAAUAAUUUCCCGUACGUUGUCGGGCUAAUAAGGGCCGUUGUUGUGAAGACGCGCGCGCCGUGCAUCCACCAUGGUCAUCGUGCGCGCCGUGACGUAACAAUAUUCACGCAUGGGCGUGGCCAUGAAAGUUUGAGAUCGCGAACAUGCUAGCAUUGGGGAGGAUGUAUGGAGAGGUCGUGCCAUGGUGAUGAUGUAUAGGCUGCACUGUCAGCGCGCAGCAGGCAGCGUGGCCCCGCCCAUGCAUUGGAUUUUUCUACUUGAUGGAACGCGCAACAACGCCCUGCAUCGUUUUCUAGGGCCUAACGCUUUCCGAGGAAGAUUCCCGUCGUGCUCCAUCCAAUGUUAACUGUACGUAGCACGUCGUAUCGCCACCACGCGGACAUAUGUGCUGAUGACAUGGUUGAAAUUGUACUACUGCUAUGUGCUGGAGUAUAGUAUGUAUAGUCAGUCCGAUAGCAGUUGUCCAAUUGUAUCUUAUCUUCGCAAACCAAAUGAGACACAAAAUAUCUCAGUAGUAGCUGCGGAAACUAGAGUAUAAUAGGCCAUGCUUAAUUAAUUAGUCUUACCAAUGACACAUGUCAACCACUCAAACAUGUUCCAAACUAUCACUGGCAGUAUAGGGUAAAUAAUGGAAGCACAGCAGCUAAUGCUAUUAGUUCCCCCCACAUGCAGAGUUAAAUUAAACAGUGUAUAUAUUAUAAUACUAUAUCACUUUAAUUUUUAUAUAUGACCACUACCAUCCACUGUCGACUGCAAACAACAUAUACAGAUACAGUAGUCGCCGCAACUAAUGCAUGAUUGCUCCUGGAAACAAAGCCCAUGCCCCCCUAUAUAGAACUUCAGCCAUGAUUGCUAGUUUACGAUGGCAUACAAAAGUGGCCUCUCAGGAUUCAAGUGUAGUAAUAAUGGGGCUAAUAACCUUUCUUCGUUUGUUUUUCUUUAGCUAAAAAACAACUGCACAAAGAGCUCGAUCGUUACAGUGUUUGAAAGAUGCUGCUACAGGCAGCUAGCUAGCUAGGGAGCCAGGGAGGACGGUACUUGCAGCCAAUGGUACAAGUACAAGAAGCUUCCUUAUCAUCAUUUCUGAACUGCCACUUCUCGUACUUAAAUCCAGGUUGGCUGUGCACUUAUUAUUAUUAUUACCAAAAUAGUCCAAUACCGUCUGUACAAAAGUUUCGGCUUCCCUUUUAUUCCCCAUACAGAUCUCUCUACCUAUAAACAUGGCGGAAUAGUAUUAUAUAAGGCCACGCUAGUUAUUUGGAACAUAGGAAUUUUAUAAGAAUUGUGUAGAAAUUUCAAAGGAUUCAGUUUAUUUUCACAUUUAACACGAAAAAAAGGAAAAAAAAUCCAGCAAUCCAAAGGGGCCCUUAAUCUAUCGAAUUCCUAGUUGUUAGACAAGGAAGCAAUGAUGGGUCUAGACUAAAACAGCAUGGACAUCUAUUCAGAUCUCCCCUUACUCCCUUCACUUGCCUCCUCCACCGAGGGAGGGGAUUGGGGGAAGGGGGCCAAAAGCCCCAUAAGCUAAUGAAAUUUUCAUCAUUAAAAUAUUAGAAAUUUUGAUAAAAUUUGUAUUGUUGGUCCAUCUUAUAACAUAAAAUUCUACCGCUACCACUUGGCUCAUGCUACCACCAUGGUUAAAGUCGCAACCCAUUACCAUGGCUAGCUUAAUCACUUUGACCAUGACGUUCCUAUCGCAAUCUCUGAUUAACCAUUUUCCACCAUACUAUCACAUAAGAAGUUUUUUAGAGAAGACCAAAAUCAAGUUUUAGGAUCAUUUUUUAAAACCAUUACUACAACAAUUGUAGAAAUGAGAUGACAUUACUACACCAAUGUCUUAAGAGAACUAUUCUUGAAAAUCAAAGGCAGUUUCUUGAAAAUCGAAGCUAUUCUAGCACUAGCACAACUAAGCUAUGCAAGCCACCUACACAAGUCUAGCAAGAAGGCUAAACACUAAGUAACAACAACAAGGCACAACAAAGGCUAGCUACACUCCUAAACAAGAACUAAUCUACACAAGCUAAACAACUAGCAAGGUAAACAAGAAAGUAAAGGAGUGGGGAGUGAUUGUUAUACCGACGUUGUAGUGUAGAGAUAUAUCCAAUCAAUCACUCACAAUCACAAUAACAAUAGAUAAUCCUUGGCAAGAGAUGACACAAGAUUUUUUACCAAGGUUCACUUGCUUCUCGACAAGCUAGUCCUCGUUGUGGUGAUACACCCACUUGAUGGAUCACGAGCUAAUUGGCAAUCCAAAGCCAAACCCUUAGCGGGUGCCGCACAUCCACUCACAAGAUGGGGAUCCUCCAAGCCACGAGCAAUCCACUAGAAUAACCAAUUGCAAUCUCCCGCGGGAAAGGCUCAAGAACCCCUCACAAAUCACUUGGUGAGGCUCGAAACAAUCUCCAAUCACGAGCUCAACACCACCGCUGCUCCAAGCCGUCUAGGGUGUCGGGAAACACCCAAGAGUAACAAAAAAUCCGCAGCAAAAUCAAGAAUCAAGUGCCACUAGAUGCAACUCUCAAUACAAUGCACUUGAAUCUCACUCAAUCUCACUAGGAUUAGCAAUCAAGCAAGGAGAUGAGUGGAGGGAGUGUUCUCUAGCUCAAUGUAUACCUCAAGUAAUCAAAUGUGCAAGAGAGAACCUCCUAAAGCCGGCCACCUCAUAUUUAUAAGCCCCUCAAAGGGAUAGAGCCGUUGGCUGUCAUUGGGCAAAUCUCGGGGGCACCGGACGCUCAGCAGGGAGCCACCAGACGCUCGAUCCCCUACAUCCGGUGCUGUGAAGUUAGCCACGUGUCCACCUUUGAAUCUCGCGUGUCAAACUCUAACGGUCACUUGCGGACCACCAGACGCGACCAAGUGAGCACCGGACACGUCCGGUACUCACUGGUCUCGUACGCAGAGAGUUUGUCAAACUCAAGAUCUCACCGGUCCAAUGCUCACCAGACUCGUGCGCAGAGAGGUCUGCAAAACAUCCGCACACCGGACUCACACCACCGGACGCACCCAGAGCGUCCAGUGCUCUCAGCCAGAAACCCCCUGCUGAGGUCAGGCCACACCGAACGCAUAAACAGGGAACACCCUGUGUCCGGUGCAGUGCGUCCGGUGCUUAACCCUAGCACAACUAGGCAGUGACUGCACACCGGACGCUAAGGUCAGCGUCCGGUGCCUCCGCGCACUGCGUCCGGUGAGUGUCCCGCGACUUCUCCAAAUUUCCCAUCGGUGCAAUAAAAAAUAUGCACUUAAUUUUCUUAAAAGCGCUGAAUCCCGCCACACAAGCUCGGCGGGAGGGAGAGAGGAACCCAAACCCCUCUCAACCCUAGGAACUCCACCUCUUUUGCAAAUGUGCUAACACCAACAAGUGUUCGCCACCAAAGUGCAUGUGUGCUAGCUUUUCACAAUCAUUUUCAUCAAAGGAGUUAAAUUAGCACUUUACUAGAUCCUAAUGCAUAUGCUCAAGAUAUGGACCUAGUAGCACUUGAUUAGAGAGAUGACCAUGAUUUCCCCUCUUGAUAGUCGGCUAUCUAUCCUAAAUCCGGUCAAUCACUUCUCUACUCAACUUAGACCGGCAAAAGCAAAACCCUAUGUUUAUACCUUUGCCUUGAUCGUUUUACUCCUUGUCUAUCACCAUGAUCUCCACUUCAUGUUUCAUCUCUUUGUAAUCAUAUGGUCACCUUUCCAUGCCACCUUGCACCUUCAUCACAUGUGUUGCUAUGCCUAACUCAAAUCACUUAAACACAAGACAUUAACAAUUUGGUGUCAUUAAUUACCAAAACUAAACUUGAGCUUUCAGGUGGGUCUUAUUAGGUAAAGGGAUUGAUCUGCUGGGGAAGGUAGCUGUGCUAUCGGGGGAGGCCUCACUGAGGGGACCCCACUAGGGGAGGGCCUCGUUGGGAACAAGGCCAGCGUGUGGUGACCGGGCGGGAGCGAUUCCAUGACCAUGGGAGAGAGAAAACGACCACAACCAUCAUAUUUAACUAGCCACUGUUGCCCGCGCUUCGCUGCGGGUGAUGUGCUUGGUAUAGGAAAUCUCAGAAAAUAUGGCAAGGGAAGAUCAUAUGUCUAAUAUGUUUUCUCGUUGCGUUGUUACGAAAGGUUGAUUCUAUUUUGUAUAUUAAAUGUUGGGAGAAUAUGUGAAGGAAAGGUAACAUGUCUUUUUUAUUACAGUGUUGUGAAGAACACAAAGGUUGGUUGUCAUUAGAUGAUGCUUAUUCUAAGCCAGCAAAUCAAAGCCACAUUAGUGUAAAGAAAUGUUCAAUGGAUGAGUCGUUAGGCUCAAGCAACUAACACACGUACAGUUACGAUUGGGUCUCUCGAGCAUAUCUAAAGGGACAAAUUUAGCACGUAUACACAUAUUUGGUAUUCUAGAGCUAAGUUUUUUUUUCCUUAAAAAGGCUGUAGAUGUAAGACUUUUUUUUGAACAACUCUAGACGUAAGAUUGUACACUGCUGGGCUGGCAGCAUCAUACUGAUCAAAGUAGCCCACAAACGGACGCGCCUUAUACCCAUCCGGCCCACCAGCAACUCGCGAAGGCCCAGCGCGUUAGCGUAUAUCACAUAAUCCCACCGCAUCCUUCUCAAUCAAACAAAAAAAACACAGUAUCCCCAAUUCCCCACUAUUGGUAGUCCCAUCGUCGACCUCCCUUCUCCGACACUGCUUUACUUACACCGAAGCGCCGCUGCUCGUCCACCGGGAACCCUAGCCGCACUCGGUUCCGAUGGUCCUCCAUCUGGCCUCGACCUGCACCGGCAUCGCCUAGGCCUCGGCCUUGGCCGCGCGCCCACAACCCCACUGGCAGUCCGUCCGGCGCACGACCUGCAGCGGCACGACAGCACCCCUGCGCGGCGGCAUUGCUGGCGCCCUACCUCCCCUACCCCGAAGGUGAGGUCGCCAUGACUGGCGUGGUGGUUCCGCACGAAGGUGAGAACCGGCUGCUGUGGCUAGGCACUGAGGAUAGGGUUGGCGGUGGCGUGACGCACGGAGGCUAAGGCCAAGCCCACGCUCAUCACCCUCGCCACCUCUCGCUAGUGCUCAUGUAAGUUUCUAGUUCUUUUCCCCAAAUACAAGAACGCUAGCCAAACCAUUUGUUUGCAUCCCUCAGAUUUAUAGGCACGCGCUAAUUGUUGUUAUUAUAUAGUUGCUUAUUCAAUAUGCUAGGGUUUCAAACGUUAGUGUUGGUCAUGGCCAAAAUUACGGCCCACUGAAAUUAAAUAAAUUGAUAUGAGGUCUGAUCCUUUCACCUUCUGAAAGUUGGAGGUGGAACAGAUUUCAGUGCCUGUUUCAUGGGAUUCUCUGCCCGUUCAGUGCAAAAUAGAGGAGGGCUCUGAUCCCAUGUCCAACACAAAUCAUUUGGUGUAGGAGAUCGGACACUCAGUAGCAGCCAUUAAGUCUAUCCACAUUCGUCUCGGUGUUCCCGUGAUGGUUAUCAGUUAUGGUGGUUGCCUAGUGCUGGUGGUGGUGGCAGCAGCACCAUCAGUAACCGUUACACAGUCGCCAUCAGAGAGGGUGUUGAUAAUGCUGCUGGUAGUUUAGGGCACACGAGCGGUGCAAGGAAGGCAGCAGACCUUCAGCGGUAGUUCUCAAUGAUCGUCUUGAUGUUGGCUAUGGUGAGGCGGACGCGAAGGUGCUCAGGGAUGAUGCAUGAACCGCUGGCUAGGGAGGCGCUCACCAAAGAAGCAGAACAUGGAGACAACAUGCAUAGGCUAGCGCUGCUUGAUGGGCAUACUAAAACAUGUUGAUCCACAACUUGAAUCGGAUGUGUGGGAUGUACAGAAACAGGGUUGGGUACAUGUACAUAUGUGACCUUACACAUAGCCUAGGUAUACACAAACUACUACUGCACGGAUGAACUACAAUGAGACCACAACUACUGAUUUCUCAGAUAUAAACUACAAGAAGAGGACACAUGCAGUGGGCUAGGAGGGGUGUGAUGAAGCCAUUAUAUAGGCAAGAGUUGAAGGACUGGGCGCCUCUACAUGCAAGGGUGCAGAUGCAAAUAUACUAUUCACAUUAAUUGUGACCAACCCCAACCACCAAUUACCUUGGGAGCAACGUGCACACAACCCCAGUCACCUGUUGAUGCAUGGUCGGUGCCUAACUUACAAAGUCUUGUCUGAUGAUAGUAAGGAGGGGAUGGAUUAGUUUACAGACAUGCUCGACUCGUUUUAUCUUAGGCCUUGUUUAGUUCCCAAUUUUUUUUAAGAUUUUUCGUUAUAUUGAAUCUGUAGAAGUAUGUAUAAAGUAUUAAAUAUAGAUAAAAAAUAACUAAUUGCAUGGUUUACUUGUAAUUUGUGAGACGAAUAUUUUGAACCCAAUUAGUCUGUGGUUAGACAAUAAUUAUUAAAUACAAACAAAAAUGCUAUAGUAGCUGAAAGCAAAAAAAAUUAUGAAGGAGAGGCUUAAAUGUGGCCACAUACUGUCGACCAACCCUGCGCAGGUAAAGACCCUAGUCGUGGCAACUACUUUCAAAUAAUCAAAUUUACUGAGUGAAUUUCUGUAUAGCUUAGAAAAACACUAGCGCUCAUGCAUGCAUUGAAAUUUACUAUGUAAUAUCUAUUGAUAAUAAAUUCAUGAAUGUAAAGGAAAAAGGUAUAUGUGAAUAUGUGAUGUCAAUUUCUCUCAUCGUAGUAAUUUUUUGUAUAUAAAGGACACGUGGAAUUUUUAUAUUGUCCUUGCAUGCAUGCAUGCUUAUUUAAUUUUUCAGCCACUUCAUUGAAUGUAUCCACUUACUUCAGCUACCUACGACAGUGGUUGAAUAUAUGGAAAGAUACUGGUUGUGAGACAGUACUUCAUCCGAGUCAUGAAAUUUCUAUCUAACGCACCACCUAAAUGAAGCAUACGUGGACACUCUCGGAGGCCGCCUAGGCGGCGUGGCCUCAUAUCUCUAAUUUUGAUCACAUAUUAGUAGAGUUUCUUUUAGUGUAAAUGCUUACUUGUAUUAUAUAUCCAUAGUUUUUAUAUUCAAAAAUCAGAAACAAUUAACUACAGGUAUUUGCCAUCCUUAGACUAUCUCCAACAAUCGUCACCCAAAAUACAAGACCCAUUUGUCCUUUGGGUAGCGCUACAGGUAAAAGGUUUCAUACCUAUUUUUAGUCUUCUCCAACAACAAGACCUAAAAGACAACACUCUCUGCAAAUGGGUCUCGAGGAGAGAGGAUACCCAAAUUUGGGUUAUGCCUCUCCUGAUACCCAAAAUGAGUCUUCUGUAUGGAUACUCUGUUGGAGGCUAUAGGUAUUGUGUUGGAGACCCAUUUUGAGUUUGGGUUCCCAAAUGGGUCUCCUGUUGUAGAUAGCCUUAUGGGUGAGUGUGAGUCCCCGUAGUAGAUACUUUUUUUGAUGAAAAAAGAAUUAUAUUAAAUUAUACCUGGAUAUAUGAACACGUUACAAGCACUCUGGAUUACAUAUAUUUAGAAAAUGAUUUUCAUCUAAAUUGUACCCAUACUAUGAAUAGCUGUGGAUCUCAAAACUAAACUUAUAUGACACUUUGCAGUAUGGAUGACUCUAUAGACAAACACUCGGCAAAAGGCCUGAGAACUAAUUGCCAUUGAUGUACAGUUGCAAAAAAGGAAAAAGAAAUCAAAUGCAUGCCCCCUGGUUUUAUCGACAGAUCAGCAAAAGAACUUAACUUACCUCAAUCUUUAAUUCCUCACGUCUCAAAUGCACCAAUUGAAAUCGACCUAAAUCAAGCCGUAUCUUAUCUCAAAGACUAAACAAACGUGAAUGUGUGUCCAAAUCUGUGCGACAUUGAAAUGUUGAUGGCGGAUCAGCGACUGAUCGAAGUGAGACUUGUAAAUCUUGUACUUAUCCUCGCAAAAGGAAAGUGCAUGUGAAAUUGUAAAUCUUAUAUUCAUACAAUAUGCGGGGUCAACACUGAGGAGGUUCAGUUGUUGCAACAGCAUUUGAAAACGGACACACGCGAACUCCAGCAGAAUGUUUCCAUGGAUCCUGCGUUGGCAGGAAACUAGUGGCCUAGCCCUUGACGACGUACAUAUAUAUGGGAUAGCGUCAGUAUCAACCAAAGAAGUAUAUAGACAUACCAGUUGAUGACCAGAGAUCGCCCAGUUGAGCCUAUUCGUUUGUCUAAAAAGCUAUGUCUGAAAGUACUGUUCGCUGAUUUAUUAUAAAAAAAUAUUAUUGAAUGACUGACAGAUUCGGCAGAUAAAUUCAAAUAAAUAGGCCUAGCGUCCAUGGUAACAGAACUCACAUAGGAAAGUGACGAAUCGUGAAGUUGUUGGAUCUGUGGAGUGGUGCUUCAAUUGUAGUUUUAACAAUAAGCUCGCGGAUUACGUGUCUCUCUUUAAUUUGAAUAAUAAAUAACUAGUAGUAUUUCUUAAAAUUAACUGCUGCAUGCCUCUCAUGAGCUAGUGUUAGAAGAACUUCUUGCUUAUAAGUCGAUAAAUUGUGAAGCCGACCGCUGGAUCAUUUGCUGAUAGGUGAUUAAACAUUUAGACGUACUUGGAUAUAAGCUCGUGGUCUGUGGAUAAGGCGCUGUUUGCGUUGCUCAUGACUCUGCAGAUUAACUAGCUGCAUACAUGUCAUGAGCAUGGGGAGAAAUAAUCUCACAGUUUCUUCCCAAUGCAAGCUGACAAUGACAACUAGUAAUUGAUUAUAAUUUGACGCUGCAGAAUGCAUGAUUAUUUUCUCGAUCGGGUGUUUAACCCGUAUUUCAUUAAGAGGAGCGUAACCACAUGUUACAGAGGUUUAAGGUAUUGGCGAGCAGCCAAUAGGCUAAACACCUAGUUACAAGACCCAAGCGAACUAAUUACAGAACGAAGACAAGACGCGACCAAGCCUGCGAAACCUCGAAGAGCGAAGAGUACCCCGCCUGUGCCCAAUCUUCUGCUUCACGAGUGGUGUCAACACACAAACUGAUCAGAUCGGGUGCCGCCCGCCGACCAAAAACCAGGUCAUUCCUAUGCUUCCAAAGAUUCCAUGCAACUAACAGGAAGAUCGAGUCAGCGGACGGCCUUGAUUCCUUGUCCACCCUCUUGCGCUGGCGCAGCCACCAAGUAGCUAGGUCCUCCUCUUGAUCAGGAACCAGCGCCCCUAAGUCUAUCGGAGAGAGCAACGCAUGCCACAGCCGUCUCGCAAGCGUGCAAUCCAGGAACAGAUGGCCGAGGGACUCCGGCGCCUGCGCACAGAGGGCACAGUCAUCCGUGUCCUGCAGUCCGUGACGUUUACGCCUCGCCGAAGUCCACAACCUUUUGUGCAGGGCCAGCCACCCAAAGAACUUCACCUUCGGUGGCACCCGCGCGCGCCACAGCUCCCUUGCUCCCAGCAGAGAGGUGGACCCUGAGAAGAAAGCUCGGUAUGUCGACGAUGCCGAGUAUCGACCAUCAGUAGACCAUUUCCAGACAAAGCGAUCGGCUUGGAGUGGAUCUAGAGUGACGCUGCGAGUUAGCUCCCAGACUCGCAAGAACUGGCAGAUAACCUGUACCGUGGUCGCACCAACGAUGUCCUUGGCCCAGCGGUUGUUCUAGGUAGCGUCGAACAACGACCUUCGACGGCCCUGUUUAGAAAUUGCUACAAACAAAUGCGGCGCAAAAGUUGCUAACGAUCCGACGGGCGACCAAGUGUCGGUCCAGAACAAGGCCGAUACACCAUCUCCCGGCACCACUGAUAUGCUGAUGUCUGCCAUUGCCUUCACCGCGCGCUCGCUGCGCCCCGGGAGAGCAGCCCAGGACCGGCGAGGCUCUGUUCGGCGAAGCCACUCCCAACGCAGCCUUAGUGCGAAGCCAAAGAAGCGAAGAUCAGCAAUACCGAGUCCGCCGAGAUCCGUUGGCCUGCAGACUCGGGGCCACGCGACCUUGCAACGACCACCCGAGACAGCAUCUGCGCCAACCCAAAUGAAAGCCCUUCUUCGUCUGUCAAUCUGCUUGAUCGCCCAAUCCGAGAGGCAGCACGCGAUGCUGAUAUGAACUGGAAUAGCAUAUAGGGUCACUUUGGUUAGCACCACGCGGCCGGCGGCGGUGAGCAGACCUGCCUUCCAAAUCGGUAUAUGCGCUGUAACCGAGUCCACAAGUUUCUGCUCUUCCCUCCUGUGCAGUCGCUGCAGAGCUAACGGGAUUCUCAGGUACCUGCACGGGAACGCAGCUAAAGUGCAAGGGAACGCGGCCUGUGCAGCGGCGACCAUGUCAUCAUCACAUCUGAUGGGUGACAUAACACACUUGUCUAAAUUGGUUAACAGUCCUGACGCCCCGGCGAAGAGGUCUAGCAGCUGCCUCAAACAGAUUAAGUCGGUGGCCUUGGGUGCCACUAGCACAACGAGAUCGUCAGCGUAGAGGGAAGCACGAUGUGCAAUGACUUGAUCGGGCAGGGCUGAAAGAAUUCUUCUUUGAUCAGCCGCUUUGAUGAGCGAGUUGAGCACCUCCAUGACUAGAACGAAAAGCAUCGGAGAUAUAGGGUCCCCCUGCCUGAGGCCUCUUGCAUGGGCUAUCCGCCUCCCAGUUGUGCCAUUGAGCAGCACCUUGGUGCUAGCCGUGGAGAGCAGCACAGCUAUCCAGUUGGUCCACCUCCGAGGGAAGCCAAUGUGGUGCAAGACUUCGAGGAGGAACGGCCAGGACACGGAGUCAAAUGCUUUGGCAAUGUCGAUCUUCAACAACAAGGACGACUGACGUUUACAGUGCAGCCAACGACAUGCCAUUUGUACAGCCCGAAAGUUGUCAUGGAUCGACCUUCCUCUGAUGAACGCGCUUUGGUUUAUUGCGACCAUUUCCUGCAGCCUGGGCGCCAGCCUCCUGGCCAGGCCCUUAGUAAACAGUUUGCUGAAGCUAUGUAUCAGGCUUAUCGGCCUGUAGUCCUUCAAAUGCGUGGGGUUUUCUUUUUUGCGCAGCAGUAUCAUGACUGCCUCGUUUAACAGGUGGAAGCUGCGCGUGUCAAGCGACCAUAUGGCGUUGAAGGCACGCACUACGUCAGCCUUGAUCGUCUCCCGAGCGACCUUGUAGAACCGACCGGUGAAGCCGUCCGGUCCCGGCACCCGGUCUGAAGACAUCUCUUUUACUGUUGCCCAGAUUUCGUCUUCGGAGAAGCACGCGUCAAUUCCGGAGAGAAGAAUGCAUGAUUAUUGAUCUAUAUAUACUUUGUUAUAUGUAUACUUGUUCUUAAUACCUACAGCUACAGGUGUAUACACUGGUGCACAAAAUUUAAAUACAUACAUUUGUUGUUUUCAACAAGUCCGUGCCUAGCUCUGAUCGAUGAUCUGUGGUAGGCAGUUGUCAAGCUGUGAUGGCUUUCUCAAGUACAGUAAGGACGUGCUUGUUUCAGUUUUGGGUUGUGAAAAAAGAACUUAUAUAUCACGGACCAUGCAAAGCUAGAUGGUGAAGUUGAGGGUCAAAAGGUGAAAGAAAAACUCCUUCCAUUCUGUAUUAUAAGUUAUUUCAAAUUAUAAGUUUUUCUAGUUUUUUCAAAACAUAUAAAGUUUGACUAAAAUAUAGAGAUAAUUACAAAAAUUUAUGAUUAUAGUACUAUACUGUUAUAAUGUAAUUAAUAGAGAAUCUAGUGAUACAUAUUUGAUAUUAUAAAUUUUAUUAUUUAUUAUAUAUAUUUGGUCGAAUUUGAGAUAUUUUAAUUUUUCAAAAAAGUUGAAAUGACUUAUAAUUUGGAAUAGAGGAAGUAGAUUGUAUUUAUUACCUAUUUUGCUAGAUUGUCCGGCCGUCUUUGUGGGGGUACCUUUAAGACAACAUAUAUCAAAAGUUGGGAAGACAAGUAGAAAGUGGAUUGUCAGAUUGCGAAUUGAAAUCUGGUUAAGAUGGAUCAUGUUUUCAAUUCAGUGUUCAAUUCUUUUGGCUACUCCAAAAAAUUAUGGAAAUUCAUAAAAGUUCACCAAAAUUUGCUGAAAUUGAACAAAGGAUAUGAUACUAAAAAAGACCCAAACAAAAUAUUAGCAUGCUUUAUGACCACACAUCUAUUGAGUAGAAAAAUAUGCAACAUAAAUAAUAUAAAAUGUGGGUAUAAGUUAUGUUUUUAGAAUAAAGCACAUGCAUUAAUGUAAUACAAAAUUUCGUAUGUUUUCAGCAACCCCAAAAUUACUGAAAUUAAUGCAUCUUCCUUUUGACAAAUUUUUAAAUCCUGAUAUGGAUCCGGGUUCAAUAUUUCGGCUAUAUUGAAUCCGGGGCUUUCAGGAGAUGAAUGAAACAAAAAUAUUUAUCCGAAUAUCAUUCUUAUUUGAGCUUAGCACUGGUUUAAUUGGAAGUCCAUGUCCAUCGAUGAAUCACAUCAGAAUCCCUAGCAUCGUGCUAAGCUCCAUUCUCGUGCUGGAGUUAGGUAGAUCGAUUUCUAGCAUUUAUGUUUUUUUUCUCAAUAAAUUGGAGAUUUACAUGUGGGUCCCAUAUAAUUGUUUAACCCUAAUUGGAAACCGGAUUCUGAGUAAUUCGUGGAGUGUUCCUUAGCUGCAUCGUGGAAUAUGGGGGAUCAAAAUUUGCCUUCUACUUCCAGUUUUUUUUUAUUGUUAAAAAAAACCCUAAACCACGGUUGAAGUUUGAAUCAAACAUACCCUAAAACUUAUAAAAAAAACUGAUGAUAACUACGCAAGAUUUGAAAUAAACUGCAUGCUCAUUAUCCGGUCCUGUACCAAGUGCCAACUGAUACAGAACAGAACUGCAGAUAACUGUAUCGCAGUUGGCCUCGCCUGAAGAUGCAGCAACAGGCAAACCUCUCAGUACUACCUACUUAGCCUGAUAGCGACUGAAGUGAGACUUGUAAAUCUUAUACAUAUCCUCGCAAAAGGAAAAUGAAUGUAAAAAUGUAAACCUUAGUCAAUAGUCAUAGAAUAUGCGGGGUCAACACUGGUGAGGUUCAGACGACGUUCAGUUGCAACAGCAUCUGAAACAGACACGCGAACUCCAGCAUGCAGAAUCCGUUCCAUGGAUCAUCCUUCCUGCGUCAACUGGCAGGAAACUAAUGGCCAACGUAGCCUCUUGAUUUAGCCUUCUCGCUUGUCUUAAACCGUUUUUUUUCUGCUAGAAAAUAGUAUUUUUUUCCUAAUAAAUAUUUUCAACCAUAACUUUUUAUAUCAGUGAACAGGAUAGCGUCCGCGUGGUACGGAACUCUCACAGCAACGUAGAAAUAAAUCGGAUCGGAAAUAUGUACUUAUAGUACUGAAGCUAGAUACAUAUACAUAGUAUAUACGUAAUGACGCAAACUCAAUCAUUCACAGAUUUUUGACAGUGUACUAACGCCUAUCCUUCUUGAAAUUUCAUGGAGUACGUAUCCUGAACUACCCGCUUACUUAAUUUGUAGUUUCGUGACUUUUCGUGAGGCAUGCAUAUGGUGGAAAUAAUGGACAUGUGCAAUGUAUUAAUCUAGAGACCAGAAAUGUGGCAGUCUUAUGGAAUAAAUUUUCUGCCAUUGUCGGCUACAAAAGUGGAUCGGAGCUAUUUUCCAGUAUUUAUGGAUAAUAUACAGACAUAGCCAAACACGCUACUAUACAUCAUGUCCACACGAAGAACAAAUAAAAGUUGCAAACGCAGCAUGCGUGCUUGCAAAUCCUAACAAGGAAACACAGCAGAAUACUACUGUCGUCUGUUGAGAUCGACACCUAGGAAUGGUUGGAGAUAUCGAGACACACACACACACAAGUGGAAGGGAAAGCGACGAAUCGUGAAGUUGUUGGAUCUGCUGACUGGCGCUUCAACUGUAGUUAACAAUAAGCUCGCGGAUUAGGUGUGUCUCUUUGAUUAAUACUAAAUAACUGCUGCAUGCCUCUCAUGAGCUAGUAGUGUAUAGAAGAACUUUCGCGUAAGACGACAAAAUUGUGAAGCCGACCACUGGAUCAUUUGCUGAUCUCGGUACGUGAUGAAACUUAGAAGUUGCGUUGCUCAUAACUCUGACUAGCUGCAUGCAUGAGCAUGCAUGGGGAGAAAAUAAUCUCAGUGUCUUCCAAUGCAAGUUGACAACUGGUAAUUGAUUAUAGUUAGACGAUGCAGAAUGCAUGAUUAUUGGUGUAUAUAUACUUGUUCUAGCUUAAUACCUGCAGCUACAGGUGUAUACACUGUUGCUCAACAUUUGUAAAUACGUACACUUGUUGCUUUCAACAAGUCGUUGCCUAACUCUGAUCGAUGAUCUGUGGCAUUCAGUGGAGUACGUCCAUUGGCAGUUGUCAAGUUGUGAUGGCCUUCUCAGUUACAGUAAACGACGUGUUUGUUUCAGUCUUGGAUUAUGAAAAAGCGGCCUUGUUUAGUUCCCAAAAUAUUUUGCAAAAUUUUUUACAUUCCUCAUCCCAUCGAAUCUUACGGCACAUGCAUGAAGCACUAAAUAUAAAUAAAAGAAAUAACUAAUUACACAGUUUACUUGUAAUUUACGAGACGAAUCUUUUGAGCCUAGUUAGUCUAUAAUUGGACAAUAUUUGUCAAAUACAAACGAAAGUGCUACUAUUUCUAUUUUGCAAAAAAAAAUUGGAAGUAAACAAGGCUACAUAUAUCAUGGUCCAGGGAAAGCUCAAUUUAAUAUAUUCAAAGCAUCUCAACUUUCUUGGGUUUGCAAAGGAACAAACAAGGAAGGGCCAUGCGCCCACUCAUGUGUCUCUCGUGAUUUGAGGAUUAAGUUUUUUUUUUCUUUUUUUUCUAUGUUAAUUACUUAAUUGAUUGAUUAAAAAUUUUUAAAAACAAUGGCUCAGAUUUAUUUGUUUGAGGUUACCUCCUAAUAAUAAGUAAAGCUGGUUUCUUCGAGAGGAGCAAAGAAAGCUGCUCAUCAUCUGGUGGUCCUGUAUCCUACCCGGCUACCCCUUUCCCUUUGACCAUAGUGCCAAACUGAUCAUCCUGAAGAUGCGGCAACAGGCAAACCUCAGUGUACGUACGUAUGUAGCUGGUUCAGUCCUUGACGACUGUAGCCGAUGAUUGGUGGCGUCCCAAGGCAAGGAGUCGGAAGCACAAGUAAAACGGAGACACAAACUCGAGAGGCAGUAGUUGCGUGCUGUCUAGCUCACCGAGCUAGUACGGUCGAACGAAGCACACUCAUUGAAAUCAAAUCAAAGAAGACACCAAGUUGCAGAUUUCCUCGGUUCGUUUCCAUUCCACUUUCGUUUGUUUGUGACAAAUAUUAUCCAAUUACGGACUAACUAGGAUCAAAAGAUUCAUCUCGUGAUUUACAACUGAACUGUGUAAUUAGUUUUUGUUUUCGUCUAUAUUUAAUGUUUCAUGCAUGUGCCAUAAGAUUCGAUGUGACGGAGAAUCUUGAAAACUUUUUGGUUUUCAGGAUGAACUAAACAAGUCCCGAACUUUUUAGUCCUGCUAUACGUGCUCAAAACCAUCAAUUAUUGGCGACGAUCUCCGCCGCCCCUGCGGCGAUGUGUGACGCUGCACUGCACGCCGCACCAAACUGCAUUCAUCGACGGCCGGGACUCUGCUGGAUAGGAGCAGCAUUGCCUUGCCUUGCCUCCAAAACCAGCUGCAACGACUCCCAUCUCAUCAGCGUGGACAAGCAGGGAUCACCGGAUCAGUACGAUCGGCGCCUAUUGAAGCUCUCAUGGCCCAUAUCGGGUGCCACUUUGCUUCUUCCAUCUGACUUCUUGCGUGCAUUGUGUUCCUGUUCCCCGCGGUCGUUGUGUUGCCGGGUCGUGAAGCAUCCAAGUUUCUGUAAGUUACUGCACAGCUUCAUAUGAAAAUGGCAGUGCAUCAAACGGUAGCCGUGCCCACAUCCACAUGAUAUACUGAUAAUUAACAAGGAUACUUACUUUACUGGCUUCAUAAAGCAAAAAAAAGUCAUUAUAGGGAAAAAAACACAAGUGUAAUUAAAAUCUACAUCAGCUCUAGAGCCUAGAGGCAUGCAUGUAUAUGACAACAGAGAAAUGAACUUGUUCGAUAAUCGAUAUCAGGAUCCAGACGAGUCCAUAUCUCGCUUUCCCCUCGGCAGUUUGUCUAUAACAUAAUUAGCAGCGGAACAGGACGGCUGGGUUGGUAAGUAACAACUGCAUAUGACGCUGACCGCCUGCAGUACCACUCGGACUUUCCAACUGCAGUCCAGUCUCCCACCUAAACACUCCCUAUAUUAUCAAUAUAUGAGUUGUUAACAAGAAUUGCAGCCACGCAUGCUGGAUGUUCUAUUGCUAGGAGAACGUACGUACGAUCGAGCGCCAUUUCAUUUGCAUCCACCAUAUAUUCCUGUUUUAGGAGUGGUCUAGACGUAACGCACAGUUGCAGCAGCGAAGCCUGCAGAUUGUUUGCUACGUGAAGGCAGGACAUGACUGGACCGAGGCUCUGCAUCUCAAUUCUCAAGUCAGCAAAGUUGUUUGGUUUAAUUUGUUUUUUUUUCAUACUGGAAACUGAUCUAAUGGACCAUAUACUGAUACUGCAUGCGAUUUGGAAGAGCAGACGUGACUACUAGGAAUCUGUUUAUCUUCUCAACUACUCCUGUAUAUAUACUGUAUUUCAUCUUAGCGUACGUAAGAGCCGUCAUUACCAAAUAAACUACGACAGUUCUCUCUGAGACAUCUAUACUAGAAUGGCCAAUGCGUGCAUGAGAUGGUUUUGAGUUCUUCGUCUUUAAUAUAUAUAUAAAAAAACUGCCCUGAAGUCCUGAACUAUAUAUUACUCUGUAAUAGACCACCUAGCAGUAUUUCUUAGUCGUCAUGCGCAGAACGUUUACGGUGAACAAAGGCUCAUUAUACUAGCAGUAAUCUUAAUUUGAAACGGACAGUGGUUCAACAUCAAGUUGUUGUUGAACACGACACAGUAGAGAUCGAAUGAGUGACUGCUGCUUCCAAUCACUGGCCAGUGAUUCUACCAGUUCCAAUAUAAUAUAUACUACUCGUGCAGUCUUUGCUUUGUCCAUGUCAAAUAAAACUAUUUUCACCUUUGUCAAUAUAACUACUACCCUUUUUUUUAACAAUGCUUGGCGUACUUAUUACAAAAGUACCGGGUGGUAUGUACCUCUCACCGUACGUGUCACAGAGAACAGCGACCAGGUACGAGCCAGACAGUUCAGUUUUACCAGUCGGCAAAAAAAUUUGAACGACUUUUGCCUGCAUUUUGGACGAGGACACGGCGACCAAGAAGAUUAUUCCCAGAAAGUAACACAACUGUUUACUUACGGUUACGUGACUUCCGUUAAACCAAAGGCUAGAAGCUGUCCGCUAUGCAAGGCAAACGUGGCUGCCUCUUACUACCCUGGUAAUAAAUAAUUCAAAGCACUAAUAGCAGUUUCCUGUACUGAGUGGUAGGUCGUUUUUAUCAUGGAAAGGAUCGGACUUAAUUAUUGUAUUUGGAUUUAAAGAACGACGAACGCAAAAAGUCUCUUUGCUCCGUCGUCAGGCUGAUCGAUAUGUAUUGUGCUCUGAUUGUAGUCGGUGUUGGGAAGGUGCUCUCCGCACUCCCCAGCAGUACGGUGAAUGGUGAACCUUCUCACUCGGUGCCGUGAGAGGUCUGAGCUCCAACAGGCAAUAGGCUCAACAGUAGGUGAAUACAGUGAAUGCUCUCCCCUUUAUUAAUGGCGGCAUCACGCCCCUUAUAUAGGGCCCGGAAACCGACCCAACGACAUUUACAUAAAUGCCCCGUGACGGUGGGGGAAUAUUCCAGCAUAUUCUUUCAUCGCAGUCUACUGACUCCAAUACACCCGCGUAAUUUCACAUUGCGAACCCUUCGUUCAUCCUUUGACUGGGGCCUCAGCAGGUCGGAGGCUCGGAUCCUCCGCCCAGUUGCGGAUCCUCCGACGCUUUGGUGUCGGAGGUUCCGCAGCCCGGCUGGUCGGAGGUUGCUUCACCCGGCCACCCCGGGAGUUCCUCCUUGGCCUGGUCCAGUCGGAGGUUCCUUGGCCUGGCUACGUUCUCCCGCCAUCCUCGGCCCCGGGAGGGUCGGAGGUUCCAACCUUUCCUCACUCGUGGACCUCCGCCGGUGCUUCAGUCCCUGCACACACUUUGCACGACCAGACGAGUCGUCAACAUUAGCAUUUCCCGUCGAAGGAUAUCCUCCGACGUUCCAGGCGUCGGAGGUUCCUCAGGUGAAGGAUAACCUCCGGCGCUACCAGGGGGAAGGAUGCAGCUUUUCCCCAACAGUUCCCCCCUUUUUGGGCUAAUGGCACUCCUGCGGUCCAUGUGCUCAAAAACAUGCUACGCUGCGGAGAUUAUGAGCAUGGUUGCUGCCUUCCCCCCUGGUGCGCAGGAUGUGGUUGUUAGCAAAUGUUGGAUAACUGUUUCUUUUACUUAGUCGUAAUUUUUCUUGUUUCUUUAUUUUGCCGGGAUCCUCCGAUCAUUGCUGCUAUAUUAGUCUGGUAUCCUACGCGCGUUAGAUUGCGGAGGAUUGCGGAGGAUUUUAUUGCCGUUGGAGUUAGCCGUUGGCAUUGACGAAGCGCAACGGUUUGGGCGAUUCCUCCGCUUAUAGCCGUUGGGCGCGGGGAAUCGCAACGGCCGCGCGAUCGCAGGCCCCCCCCUAUAAAAGGGGAUGCUGGGGAGCCUUGAGCUCUCACCCCUGCUGCUCAUUGCCUGCACACCUUCCUUCGCUACGUCUUUCUCUCUGAGCUGCUUGCGUGCGUUUCUGUUUAGUUCUAGUGUUGUCGGAGGUUUUACGGUGGCUCAGCUUCCUUCACCGCGUCCUUCGAGGUCAGAUUUUUCUGGUCCUUUGCGCGGUUUCCUUAGUGUGAGGUCUGGAGGUUGGCUGCGGAGGUUUGAGGAGUGGAUGCUUGAGGUGGCUGCAGCUCGAGAUCUGGAGGAGACGUUGUCUGACGUCGAAGCUUCUGUCGGUGAUUUGAUCAGUGCGAAGGAGUUUGAGGAGAUGGCGGCGAUUACUUUUGAGUUCGGGCAGUCGACUGUGAGGACGGAGGAUAUCGCUGACAUGGUUGAGGCUAGGUUUUUCAAGGAAGGUCGGGCGGAGGCUCCUCCUGCGGGUCAAACGGUGCCUGCGCCUGGUGAAGGUUAUGCUGUUGUUUUUAGGGAUUUCUUCACCUGCGGGCUUCGGAUGCCUCCAUAUCAUUUCCUUCGCGAAGUGAUGGAGAGCUUCAAUGUGGAGCUGCAACACUUCAGUCCCAAUGGGAUACUAACACUUAGCAAAUUCGCCUGGGCGUGUGAAUCCUACGGAGCCAUGCCCCACAUUGAUACUUUCUGCUCGUAUUUUGAGCUUCAGCGUCAACCUAAGAAGGUGAAGGAUGCCGAAGGUGUUGAGUGCAUUGCGCAGUUUGGAAGCUGCGCGUUCAUGCCGCGCCGCACCAUGCCUGGGCCAAGGUGCGAGAUCUCCUACUGCCAAAAGGGGAAGUGGGAGAAGGAUUGGAUGAGAGCUUGGUUCUACGUGAGGACCCCCGCUGCGUCGAAGACUUUAGAUGACGGCAGCGUUGAUAAAGUUUAUCCUUACGCGUCGCUGAUGAAGGAGCUGAAGCCUUUCUCGAAGGUUGAUCCUUCGCAGGAGAUGUCGGAGGAGCGACUUGCUUGUGAUAAGGCAUUUGCGCUGGCAUGCCGAUAUUCCGGGGGCCGGGAUUUGGUUGAGGAGAUGGUCGCUGCUGACUACUGGCCCCUUGGCCGCAGGACCGAUGAGUUCACCAUUGAGAUGGUGCAAGUUCCUGUUUUUGGUCCUCCGGAGGGGUUGCCGUUUCCCCGGUUCGGCGCAGGUAUUCCGGAGGAUGAGACCAAGGAGUCCUUCCUUGAUCGUGUGGAGGUUUCUGCCCGGAGGAUCGUCGGGAAGAUCUCGGAGAAGGAGUAUCUCCAGCGGAGGUCUGCGCUUGGGACGAUGCCCCGGUUCAACCGCGUUUUUGAGGAAUUGGGGAUCGAGUAUGAGGAUUAUGUUAUUCCUCCGGAUGUUUUGCUUGGGUUGGAGAAGAAGAAGGACUCCUCGAAGGCUGUUGCUUUGGCGGAGUCGAAGAAGAGGAAAGGGGGCGGCGCAGUCAAGCAACUUGCGAAGAAGCGGAGGGCGGAGGUUGUGCUAGAAACUCCUGUGGAGUCUUCCUCCGCCCGCUCAUCUGGUGCCGAGUCAAACUCGGUAGCUUCUGCACCUGCGGAGGCCGCUGCUGCUGGUGGAGCUCCUGAAGUUGAAGCUUCGCGUGCGGUCUCCUCUGUGCGCGCGCCUUUCGCGUCUCUUCUUGGGGAGGAGUCUUCCGACGCGGAGGCCCCUGAGGCGAGCCCUGCGCGGGAGGCGAAUCCUGCAGCGUCUGAGGGUCCGCGCGUUGCUUCAGUUGGCGGAGGGUCUCCGCCUAAGGAGGUUCAGGUGGAGUCCAGCGACGAAGCUGAGUCCGCCUCCGUUCGGAGGAUCAGGAGGGCGGAGGCUCCCCUUCGUCCGGCUGGUGACGGUAUUAAUUCGUUGUACAUGGGUAAUGAUUUUUUGUUGAUUAUUUUGUUUUUAUGCAAGUUUUGAUUGACUUGUUCUCAUGUUUUUGGUUUAUCUUUCAGCGGAUGUUUUUGCUGGGCUGGCUACCGCGGAGGAGAUGGCUAAAGGCGCCAGCGUUGCGCAGGAAGGGCUUGUCGUUCCUCCGCCGCGUGAGCCUGCGCCUUCUGCGUUGGCCAACAGGCCUUCGCCUGCUGAUGUUCUUGGUCCUGGUGAGUUUCUUCUUUUUGGUUCAACAGUUUGGUUUGUUUUUGGCAUUUUAUUCUAAGGUUUGUUUUUGUUAUGUGCAGGUGCUUCUGAACCUUCGAUCACAGGUUGGACUGAUGCCUUGCGCGAGGUUCAUUCCUUGGUCGGAGGUUAGUGUUCUGGCCUCCGCCGAAGGUUUUUUUUUCUUACGGUGGUUUUUCUUAAUUGUUUUUGGUUUACAGAUCGUUUUCGUCAGAAGCUUCGCGGCAUGGACUUUGACACGCUCCUUCGCGUGCAAUAUGAGCACCAUAGCCUUGUAUGUUUGUGCUUUGUUAUGUCUUCCUUCGCGGUUUUUCACUCGGAGGUUUGUUGUAACUAUUUAUUUUUGAGCAGGGUCAUCACAUGGCUGCCGCCUUAGAGGAGCGUUGCUCCCGGGAGGUUAUCUGCCGUGAUGAGGCGAUUGGUGCUCUGAAGAAGGAGAACGAGACCUUGGAGGCUGAGAAGGCUCGUCUGUCGGAGGAGGUUAAGGAGUUUUCCUCCGUCAGGAGGGAGGUUGACUCCCUGAAAAAGGAGAGGGAUGACUACAAGGCUGGGUCGGAGGCUCUGAAGAAGGAGAAAGAGGAUGCCGAAGCUUCGGUGGCGGUCCUCCGCACAAGUGUUGCUGAGGCGGGGAGAGUUAGGGACGUAGCCCUGCAGCGAGCUGAGAAGGCGGAGGACAUUGCUGAACGCCUUCGCAAAGAGCUUGACGCUGAGCGGACGUCUGCAGCUGAGCUGCAGACUCGCAUACAGAAGGCGGAAGCGGAGGCUGCAGCUAUUGUCGGGCUCUAUGCCGACUCGCUUGCGAAGUUUGGGGGAAGCACCUCUGCUCCUCCGCCCGGCGGCGAUGUUGGGGCUGCCCUCGCGUGGCUGAAGUCUCAUAUCCGCAUGCUCCCCGACUUUGUCGGAGGUGCUGUUGAUUUUGGGGCUUUGGCUGCGGUUAGCUCCUUCGCUAGGCUUUUGCGCCGCGGAGGUUGCUCUCACGCGGAGGGAGUCGCCAAGGAGGAAUUUGCCGCGGCGGAGGACGUUGGCGAAGGGACCCCUUCCCUGCGCAAAUCUGUCCGGAACUUUAUCAGUUCGUUCUGGAUUAGGUUUGGGCGGGAUGAGGCGAAGAAAAUGGCGGAGGAUCGUCGAGCUGAGGUUUGUAUUAUUUGGUUAUUUCUUUUUGUAUUUUGCUUCGCUGCUUUGCAAUGUUACUUAAGAUGGGUAUUUUGUAGGAGAUUGCGAAGAAGAAGGCUAAGGUUGUCAAGGCCGGUCCUUCGCGUCCACCGAGGGAGGCGUGUCCUCCGACCCAGGCUGAAGCGGAGGCUCGUGAUACUGGUGCCAAAGCUCCGGAGGGAUCUGGUGCCAAGGUUUCAGAGACGCCCGAGGCUUCUGCUCCUCCUCCGCCUCAGGUGUGAGGCUUUUUAGUUUUUAGGUUUUUCUUAGUCUUUUUUGCGUCCAAGCAUGUGACGCUUUUUUGUAAGUAAGGCCGGAGGUUGUGUUUUAUUUUGUAAAGACUGUUGAAAAUAUAAUAUAUUGAGUUGUUUUCAGAUAAGCCUUUGUUUUACACUUUGAUCCUGCGCAGGUCUCUGGCGGAGGACCUGCGCAGGAUCGUUUCAUUACUCCCCUUUCGUUUUUUUACAAAGGGAUUUAUGUUUCUGGCGAAUUGUGGGAGUAUUGGCGAGUUGCCUUCCCUAACAUGAGAUUGGUGGAUAUGUUCGAGUUUGUUGGAUAUGAUAUUGAUGGCGAAGGAUCUGGAUUUAUCCAGUCGCUUGCGCGCCGAGGUUCAUGGCCUCCGGCUUAGGUGGAUGUUUUUGUUUUUCUUUUCGUUUAUCGUAGGUUUUGCUUAUAUUUUUUGACAUGAUUUGAUGUGUUUAUGUAGUUGCCAUAUCCUAUCCUUCGCAUCUUUGGUGAGAGGGAUAGGGUACGCUGGGUGGCGGAGGCUUCUGAGGAUGUUGCUGAGCCUUUUCUUCAAGGUUUUCCGGAGGUUCGUAAGCUUCGUUUGGCUUUUUAGUUUUAUCCUUCGUUUGUGAUGGCUUUGAAGUUGUUAUUUUCUGCGCAGGUUGUGAGUUCCGCUCCGUUGGAAGAUCUUCCUUCGAACUUUGACGAAGGAAGUUACGUUACCCCGGUGACGUUCAAGCGUGGAGAUUUGUACGCGAGGGGUUAUCUAAUUGACUGGUGGCGCCAUAAGUAUCCUACGCGUAGUAUAGAUGACUUAGUUGAUUUCCUUGUUCGUGAUUACUGUGAUGAUCUUAGGCUUUUUCCAGAUUCGUAUGUUAGAAUUGUGCGAGGGUCUUAGAACCUUCGGCGUUUUACGGUCGGAGGAUGUUUUUCAUUUUUUGUUGUAAGCUUGUGUUAUGUACAUUGUAUACGGUUAAUAAAGAUCAGACAUUUUUACUACAUGGUCUUCGCACCUUUUAAUUUUGACAACCUUCGCGCUAUAAUUUGUACAUGACUCAUAGAUCCUUCGGUUGUUUAGUUGAAGGAGGAUUUGUGAGUUGAGCUUGUACAAGCUACCUGUAACCUUCGACUUUUUAUGGGUCGAAGGAUGAUUUUAUUCAUUUUCUGUAAACGAACUUUUGUAAUGAUUUCUUCAUCGAUAAUAAAGUUUUAAAGUUUGCUACAACCUUCGAUCUCAUUUUUAUUACAACCUUCGCGCUACAGCAUUUGUAUAUUGCAACGUCACGGUGGUGUUGAUCCUAAGGAUCUUUGUGUUGCUGUGGCUUGCUUGUUCUUGAUGCUUGAUGUUGCGAAGGAGUUGUUGAUUUUUUCUUGCGCGGAGGAUCGCUGCUUCUUGGCCUUAGAACCUUCGACUUUUUUGGCGCGAAGGAUCCUUCGCUGAAUUGUGCUAUUUUUUCCCUUUGCUCGACUCCCGUGGAGUGUUGUCGAGGAGAACCUUCGGCUGUCUAAGUCGGAGGUUCUGAAGGGAUGUUACGAGACUUCGUGCGAUACCCUUCAGAGACCUCUGAGUCUGACUUCCAUUGUUUCUGUUGUGGCUGUACACGACUUUGUGGUCGAUGUUCAUCACAACGCCGUAGUUCUAGUAUUACGAAGCUACGUGCGAUACAAACUUUUGUUGGUGUUGUGAGGCUAACUCCUGCUUCCAUGGUGGCCUAGGAUUUUGCUUUUUGACUGCUAGGUUUGCACUCGAUGCUCGGGUCUUUGUAUGCUGAUCCUGAUUGAGGGUGGUGGUAGGGUGAGCCUGGUUUUAUAGGCUUUCAUGCAUUUAUUUUAUGUACUCCGUUAGGUCAAAAUUUAUUAUCGGGUUAUUGAUGGUUGUUGUGGUAGUUGGUUUUGUUGUAUCUGACCGAGGGUUAUUGUAGUUUCGUUUUAAUUUCACACUUUGUUUGUUGGGGGUCUGCUUAGAGUAGCAGGAUACCUUCGACCUUAUUUUGGUGAAGGUUAUGUGAAUUUCGUUGGGGUCUGUCCUGUGAAUGUUAAACCUCUGCUGCCUUUUGGCGAAAAUAAUAUGGUUCCUGAUGCAUGAUUCUCCUCAGGUCUUUGUCAGGUUUGAAGGUUUUGCUCCUUCUGGCCAUGUUGUGAUGCCUGAGAAGGACAGGACUUUUUCACUUUUUGGCCGUGUUAUCCUUGCUGCCCGGCUCUUGGCUAGGUCUUUUGCUAAGGAUUUGGUGUUUUUUUUCACCUUUGAGGACGUUCCGAGCUUUCUGAGCUGUUGGAUGAAAGCUGCGGAGGGUCCUUGUGAUCACGUGAUGUUUUGUCGAAUGCUACGGCCUCGUUGCUGGCUGUUUUUCGACUUUUUGGGCUUUGGUUCUGGGGUGGAUUCCUCUUUAUAUUUCAGAGGUUUUUACAUAGGUUCUGCCUCGUUAAAAACCUCACCUCCUGGUAGGAGUACCCCUGUGAGGAAAAGAGUGCAGACCUUGGAAUGCGAAAAAGUAGAGAAAAAGAAAA
rnacentral:lncRNA from 1 species